AGCUGCUCGGGAACUAACUGGUCAUCGGUCGGCGAGUGGAUGGACUUGGAAAUUGGCAUGACAUUUUUCAGCUUCAUGUUACAGCUGAACCAUGAAGGAUGAUGAGGGCACUGUUUUAUCACCUCUGCAGUUUUCCAUAUUUUUACUUUCACUCCCUGGAAGUAUCAAACAGUUAUAUUGGCUUGGUCUGAGGCACGCAAACUUUUUAGGCAGUAGUAAUAAGGAGUAACAAUGGACAGUACUCUCAUGGGGACAUUUCUGACUCCCUGACCCAAACCCCCAGGUACCCGGGAGGAAGCUCGCAGCAUGAAACCAGAGCAAGAUUUUAGUUCAGCCCCAGUGGGUCCUCGGAGAAAAAACGCCUCUGUUUGGAAGUUUAAAGGCAGACAAAAAGGUGGAAGAAGGACAGACAGAUCUGCCACUUCAGGGAGGGACACGUGGCUCCACUGGUUCCAAGGAGGGCAGACAGGACACGCUGCUUUUUGUCUGUCCUGUGGACUGAAGUCUCAUUGCCAGCUGCAAGGCAUGGGGCUUGUGUCUGGAGAGCAUCUGCUGCUCUCGUUUCAUCCAAAAAGCUCCAGGUUCACACACUCCAGGACGACUCUGCAGCAAGAACCGCAGCAUGGAUAGUGGGCAUGAUCAGGAGAUUCCCGUCAAAAGCACACUCGGGAUCUCACCUAAGACACUAACACAGGACCUUUCAAGAGAAGACUGUCUCUUGCCCUCUACUUAUAGAAUGGGCUCUAAUGAUCACUGGAACCUCCAAGGAAAACUGCAUUGUAAUCAACAAGCAAAACAAUAAUGCACAAAAAGAGAAGAAUGUAUCUAUCGGACAGAAGGAUCUAGUUCUUCUAUCGCUAUUGCAUAAAUGUAAUCAGACUUGACCAAAAUUUUUCAUUUGAGUUUUCAUUUCCAAGGAAGCUUUGGUAGAUCAUUUUGACCCAGACAAAACAAUUACAGAAUUGUCUGAACUAUAAAUAUUCCUGUUUCUUUCUUCAACCUUGGCUUACAUUUCUUUCCCCUCUACUUAAGCAAUAGUAUUUCAUUCUGAAAGGUUCAAGGGGAGUGAAUAAAAAAAUUAGUAAAUCAAACAAAUAUAAGAUAGAUACAUUACAGAAUCCCACUAUGGUUUAUGUAACCCUCACUAGUCAUGAGAAAAGAGUUCUGGGGUCUUACAAGGGUUAUACCCCUUGGGUAGAUUUCCAAAGGUUAUGAAAAUUGAGACUAUAGCCUUGACAUGAAUUAAUGGAUAGUGUUGUGCAAUCCCCUCGCAGUAUGAUGUGUUUGUAUGCUUAUGAAGCAACUUGGGAGGUUAAUGAGUACAAGUGAAUACUACAGAUUCUCCACAUAAUUUUAAUCCUCUCGAGACAAGAAGAUGAUGCUAAAAAGCUCUUAGCACAUCCUGAUAAAUGGUAGCAGAGAAUUCUAAAGGAGGAGAACAUACUGCUCCGGGGCCCCUCAGCAGCCCAGACAUGCCAUUCUUUACCCAGUGCUGAAGACUGAUUAAGUUACAAGACAUAUCUGCAGAAGGUUGCCAUUCCUCCCCUCUCCAGAAAGUUUAUUAAAGAAUCUAUGCAGUGCUUGCUCCAGCUGUCAGAUCCUCAGGGCAUCUUGUUGCAAAACCUCUCAAUCUAGGUCGCUAUCCAGAUCUCACUGUUCUUGGAAGCAAGUCUGAUUUCAUGAUCAAGCUCUCCAAGAGCUGACCUCUGUUCUAGUGCAGAAGAGAAUACUUCAGGUUGAACGCUGUGGAGUCACCAAGGUUUCUAUGUUGUCUGUUUCUUCAGUCCCUAUUGCCAUAUCAAAAGGAAACUAAAUGAUGCUGAAACACCUUGUUAAACUAACUGCUUGAAAGAAAAGGAUGAAGCCUCCACCAGACUGGCCUGCGUCAUUAUCAUAACUCAUCUGAAAAAGCCAAAGGUAGUUUCUAGUGGGAUGCCAGCAAAGCUGAAGCUUCAUUUCAACACAGCCUGUCCCAGUUAAUUCCCUAGUGAAGAAGCAGCAGAAAUUCAGGCAGUGGGAUGACUGCUGUCCUGCUGGAGGGCAAAGCUUGGCAUUGAAACAGCAUGUGGGGAAAAGCAGCUCUAGAGAACAGAUACAACUUCUGGCUCUAAUUCCUACGUGGGAUUAUGCAUCUGAUUUUCUGGUUUCUGAUAAAGAACCUUUAAAUUCACCGCACUGUAAGAAUGACAGAAGUCAAACGUUUGGACCACAAGCAAUAGGACUGCAAGACAACCAUGAAUUUUGUAAUAUGGGACUUAGCUUUCAAAUAGUCUCACUUUUCUGAAUAAAUCUAGCUCAACAGAUUUUGAGAGUAACAUUAAAAAGCACGUCCCUUUCAUCAAGUUGCACAACACCUUAGCUACCGGUAAAAACAAAAAUAAUAUACUGCACCCACUGGCGUUGUUCAUGGGACUUAGGACACUGAAAGUAAUCCCAUUAUCAUAGUCCUGGCCUUAGUAAAGAUUUGUUGUGUAUUAAAAAAAGCCAACCAAACAACCAAUAUCAACAUACAUCCAGAAAGAAUGAUCACCUUAAAGCAUUCUUAUAGGUAAAUUUGCCUCAUUGUUAUUGUUAUUACAAGCUUUGGGGCCAGGAUUUCUGAAGCUCGCUCUUAGUCUGCUUCUAAAGUGAGAAUAUGGCCCGUCCCUCCUGCAGGGCUCCCCUACUUUUCAGGUCCUCAUCACCUUACCCUUGUACAUAAUGGAGCUGUUUAACUGUGGCAGUAGGCGGUCUAAUGAAAUAUUACCACACCAUCUCUUCAAGGACUCCUUUGGCUUCAUGUGUCAUUUAUCCUUCUCAAAAUCAUCAUGUUUACUUUGGACCGUUUUGCUGGAACUGCUCCUUGGUGCCUGAUUGAUUUGAUGAAAAGAAGGACAGGCCGCCAGUGCCCCUUGGCCCCGUUCAGUAAUGGGAAUGUUUCUCCAAGGUUGGCAGCCUGCGCUCGCUCUAGGCACUGCUCCAGGUUUCCUCCGAGGAGCUCAGCUUUGAUGACACGUAGCCUGCUCGGAGGAGUCCUGUUGACAUCACCAGGACUGGCUUCCCUUGCACGCUGGCGGUAGGAGACGCAAUUCGAGGAGACAUGAAAGGCACGGGAGGACGGGGGAAGGAACGGUCGUCCGCAAGACGCAGUUCAAAUGCCUCGUUUCUCCUCCAGAGUUGAUUUCUUCGAAGCUGAGCUAGGGAAUUGAGGCUGUCGGCCCGAGCACAGCUGUGACUCCAGCUGAGCUGCUGUUGUUUGUUUAGUGACAACAAUUGUUCUCAGCUAGGACCUUCAGAAAACAGUACGUGUUUGGAGAGGCAAGACGAUGCUGCUGCUGCUGCAAAGUACCGAGUAUCCUCAUCUCCCCACUCUGACUGCAGUGGGAGCUGAGAGCUCUUAGCACUUUGUUGGCAGCGAUCACCACCUCAUGAUUAGGUCCGUGGACAAUUAAGGCUUUCAGAUAUUCCCACACAGAAGGGAUGAAGAGUUGCAAACAUGAGGUUCUGAUUCUCACUACUGUUAUGAAGUGUGACUGCUGAAACAUUUAUUUCCACUUCGAGUAUUUGUCCAUAUGUGUACUCCGCUAUUAGUAAGUGUACACAGUAUGGGGUUGAAAUUUGAAAUCUUUGGCCAGCAGCAUCCGCUGGGGACAUUCCUUCUUCUUGCAUGUCUACCUGCCAUGAUGCCAAAAGUGUAAAGAGCAGUUUGGGUAUAAUAGCACAGUUUCUUCUCAGCAUUCAUGUUCUCCCAGUAUAAUCAUUUGUACUAUAGUCAAUAUAUGCAGUAGUGUUAGCUUAACAGUGCUAAUUAGGUAGCUGUUCCCUGAAAGUUCUUUAAUCAGAUUAUUUUGUAGUCAGAAAGCAAAUCAGCUUCCUUCUUUGUGAUAAGCUGUUCCACACUGGGAUUGCUGGACUAAAACACUGCCCAUCUUUUAAGACAGAAUUACUUCUUACUUAAAGAAAGUACUUCUUUAGAAAGAAGGACCUCAGAAACUGAAAGAAGUAUCUAAAGAUGCUAUUUUCCGUUUUUUUUUUUUUUUAUUUUCCUACACCCUUCCCUUUUCAGUACAACUAACCCUAUCUGAAACCCCAGUUUAGAGCAGAAGUUCCUCCCGAGUUCUGUGUUCUCAGGACUCAUCUUCACUCCUCCUGGUUCAGCAAGCUCUGCUCACCUUCAUCAUUUUUAUCCUGAAGGUAAUACCACUCUCAAAGGGUGUGUUUUUAGGACAGCAAUAACUGAACAUGCAAUCUAGAUGAAACAGAUCUCUUUUUAAACUUUUGUUAAAGACAUCUAAUUGGUUUAUUCAAUCUUGUACCAAAGGGACUCUGCAAACAGAAGCAUGGACUUCAGGAAACAAGAGACUUAGUCAGCUUCUGUAGCCACGUCCUUACCUAAUUAUCCCUGUGGAGACUGGAAUAACUUCUAACAUUGCUUACAGAGC